GGAAUCUUCCACAAUGGGCGCAAGCCUGAUGGAGCAACACCGCGUGAGUGAAGAAGGGUUUCGGCUCGUAAAGCUCUGUUGUUAAAGAAGAACAUAUCUGAGAGUAACUGUUCAGGUAUUGACGGUAUUUAACCAGAAAGCCACGGCUAACUACGUGUCAG
rnacentral:rRNA from 1 species